UCGCAUUAGCGAUUGAAGCGGCAUCCUUUUCAAACUCUUUGAGUUUGGAAAGAUAGAGCGGAAAGCGCGACCCUUG
rnacentral:sRNA from 2 species